GUCUUGUGUGCUUCGUGUCUGAAUACGUUGGACUCCAGACGUUCACCAUGAAGUUCAAUCCCUUUGUGACCUCAGACCGCAGCAAAAACCGCAAACGACAUUUUAAUGCCCCCUCGCACGUACGCAGAAAGAUCAUGUCGUCUCCGCUAUCCAAGGAGCUUCGGCAGAAGUACAACGUGCGCUCCAUGCCCAUCCACAAGGACGAUGAAGCCCAGGUGGUUCGAGGACACUAUAAAGGUCAGCAAAUUGGCAAGGUAGUCCAGGUAUACAGAAAGAAAUACGUCAUCUACAUUGAGUGGGUGCAGCGUGAGAAGGCUAACGGCACAACUGUUCACGUGGGCAUUCACCCAAGCAAGGUGGUUAUCACCAGGCUAAAACUGGACAAAGAUCAGAAAAAAAUUCUUGAACGCAAAGCCAAGUCUCGACAAGUUGGAAAAGAGAAAGGCAAAUACAAGGAAGAACUUAUUGAGAAAAUGCAGGAAUGAAUAUAAUCUUUCGUGCAGCCAUGGUUUAACUGUAGUUUUUAGCUUUGUGUGUGUUUGGAACUUUUCAAAAAUGUACCUGGAAUAUUCCAUUUCCUUCCUGUUUUGUUAUUGACCUGUGGCUAUAUAAACUACUCUUGCAAUUUUGAUUAAAAAUUUUUUGAAUAAAAAUUGGAAAUAUUUCUUAAUUUCAAA